rnacentral:misc_RNA from 1 species
UGGCUCUCGCAUCGAUGAAGAACGCAGCGAAAUGCGAUAAGUAAUGUGAAUUGCAGAAUUCAGUGAAUCAUCGAAUCUUUGAACGCAACUUGCGCUCCUUGGUAUUCCGAGGAGCAUGCCUGUUCGAGUGUCUUGAAGUCAUCAACCUCGACCGUUUUGCGACGGUCGCGGUUGGAGCUGGGGGACUUUGCCGGCCGUUUCGGUCGGCUCCCCUCAAAUGCGUCGGUUGGGCCUGUGGGUCAAACUCGUUUGGGCGUUGUACCAUCCUCGCUCUCGUGUCAGACCUGCUAACUCUGCGCCCCUCCUCGACCUGCCCACCCUUCCGGGCGGUCAAAAUCACAUUUGAAAUCUGACCUCGAAUCAGGUAGGACUACCCGCUGA